GUCCAGCUGGCCAGGGAGCCCGGAAUGGGUUCCCUCAAAGAGCUCCUAGGAGGUGUCAAGACUACAUCUUCAGUUACCUGCAAGCCCAAUAUUUCCUUACGUUUCCUGGGAGAAAAAGAGGUCUCAAUCUUCCUGUUCUUCAUCGACAUGAGCAGAAGGGUGGGAAGUCCAGCUGGGAGGCUGCAGUGGACCCAGGCUAUAACCCAUGCUCUUCUGCACUGCAGUGGAUGCCUCCUGUAAGCUGUGUCCUCCUGGGUUGCAUGGAGCCCUACUCUAAACCAAACCCUCAUGGGCUAGAGCCGAGACCAUGUGUAAGCUGUGCUGUCCUGUGUUUCACAGGUGUCCCUGCUGGAUCCUCCUCAGCUGUGAACUGAGCCUAGGCAGCCUAAGGAGAGAGUUUGCUCUCUAGUCUUAGAGGGACCAAGGUCUGCCAAUGAGAACAGGAAGAGCAUACAUUCAUGGGGAGAAGAUGUCAGUGGGCAAUGUUGUCAUCCCUCCCUCUUCAUGGACUUCUCGAAUUUAUCAGAGUUCCUCCGGAGCCAGGAAGUAGAGCACACCCUGGAUUAUUACACCUAAAUAUUUAGUAACAUUUUCCUGACCCACCUCUUUGGUAAAUACACUUGUGCUCUUAUG
rnacentral:lncRNA from 1 species